rnacentral:rRNA from 1 species
UACAGAGGGUGCGAGCGUUGUUCGGAAUUAUUGGGCGUAAAGGGCGCGUAGGCGGUGCCACAAGUCACCUGUGAAAUCUCUGGGCUUAACUCAGAGCCUGCAGGCGAAACUGUGGUGCUGGAGUAUGGGAGAGGUGCGUGGAAUUUCCGGUGUAGCGGUGAAAUGCGUAGAUAUCGGAAGGAACACCAGUGGCGAAAGCGACUUCCUGGUCCAAUACUGACGUUCAUGUGCGAAAGCGUGGGGAGCAAACAG